rnacentral:misc_RNA from 1 species
CCCUUGUGGAGGAGGACGCCGAAGGUGGGGCUAAUGACUGGGGUGAAGUCGUAACAAGGUAGCCGUACCGGAAGGUGCGGCUGGAUCACCUCCUAACAGGGAGACAACAAAAUGUUUAAUAUUAUUAUUUUGUCACCUUAGGUCGAUCGGUAUCUCACGUUCUUAAUUUAUUGAGGAUUUCAUUUCCUAAGUUUUUCUAGGUCACACCCAUUAUUUUCCUGGGCCAUUAGCUCAGGUGGUUAGAGCGCACCCCUGAUAAGGGUGAGGUCCCUGGUUCAAGUCCAGGAUGGCCCAUAUCUCUAUGUUGGGGGUAUAGCUCAGUUGGUAGAGCGCCUGCUUUGCAAGCAGGAUGUCAGCGGUUCGAGUCCGCUUACCUCCACUGAUUACCACCUCUUCCAUAAUUUGUAGAAGGGAAAUGUUAUGUGUUGUGACCAACUUCUGAACGAAUCUAGCUUCCUAAUGAAAUCAUUAAGAUGCUGGACUCAUUGAAUUAAUUUCAUUGUUUUCAGAGAACCUUGACAACUGCAUAGAUUAUUUUUAAAGACAAUAAGCAUCUUUAAUGAUGCAGAUUUAUUAUUUGUGCGAAUGCAUUAAUAACAAUUCUAUUAAGCUGAUGCUUCAAUUUUGAAGUUAUUGGUCAAGCUACAAAGGGCUCACGGAGGAUACCUAGGCACACAGAGGCGAUGAG